ensembl:misc_RNA Metazoa_SRP Metazoan signal recognition particle RNA
GCUGGGCUUGGUAGUGGAUGUGGCACAUGCCUGUAAUCCCAGCUACUCAUGAGGCUGAGGCAGGAGAAUUGCUUGAACCUGGGAGGCUGAGGUUGCAGUGAGCCGAGAUGGUGCCACUGCACUCCAGCGAGACUCUGUCUCAAUCGCACUGUCGCCAGGCUGGAGUGCAGUGGCACCAUCUCGGCUCACUGCAACCUCAGCCUCCCAGGUUCAAGCAAUUCUCCUGCCUCAG